rnacentral:lncRNA from 1 species
GCUUCUCUGUUUUGGUGGUUAUCCUGUUUUUUCCUCACCAUAAUAUAUCAGAUGCAAAGCACUCAUAUUAUUAAUUUAGAAAUCAUUGGACCAGGAGGAGUCAAAUCCAGACCUGAUGGAGUGGGAAGCUGUGAGUGACUCAGAUUUGACGAUGGUGUGGCCUCUUGACCAGCUCUGAAUGGUGUAACUCUGGAAAGUGAUACUGAAUGCCUAAAUUUUCCCUCGGCUCUGGCCUUCUCUGCUGCCUCAGGAGAGAGAAUCAGCUCAGAGUCCAGUCGUGUCUGAACAGACUCCAGCGUCUUCCAGGAGUGAGCAACGUUUGACAAAUGCUAACACUCAGGGGAAUGUUCCAGAGUCAUUUGCUUUGAGAAGUAUGUAUCAUCUACUGUUCUUGACAUGAAUUCAGUCUACUCAUUUUCUACACGUACAAGCACGUACCCUGCUUUCCUGGGUACAGGAGGACAGUAAGCCAUAAAAUGAAAGGGCUUUACCAUGAAAAUCAGCACAAACUCAUUUGCUUAUUUGGCAAACAUGCUUUCAUUCUCCACGGCCAUGAGAGGGAGAGACUGGAAAUAGAGACAUUUUUGGAUUCUCUUGGAUCUAUUAAUUAUUUUCCAACAAGUGGAUGUACUAGUAUGAGAUUUGCAAGAUGGAGUUGAGUCCCAAGACAUUUUCCUACCACUCCUGGCUCACAUGUCUGCAAUUCUUCAGAAGCCUCAAGGACUAAAGAGAGGAUGAGUUCAUUCUUAAAAUAAAUGCCUUUGGAGAUUAGCUGAAAACUUUUUG